rnacentral:lncRNA from 1 species
AUCCCAAAUUUGGCGUCUCUUCCCAGAGUCCGGGGCUAGGAGGAUCCCCACUACCCACUACUCACUGUCACCCGGAGGCCUGCAGCCAGCCGGGCACCCCUGGUGACUCACUGCUCCACUCCGGAUCCGGGGUCGCGCCCAAGAGGUCACCUUCCCCUCUAUCAGCCCCGCCCCUCGCCCACUGCGUCCUGGGCCGCGGAAGGUACCGACCACCAGGAGGCGGGAGGGGGAGGGAGGAGGUGGAAAAGAAAGGAGGAGGCGGGAGAGAGAGGAUUCAUUAAUAAAGUUGCCCCUGGGCAAACCGCAAACCGAAUUGAUCUCGGUGGGUGAAGCCCCGCGCCCCAGCGGUAGCACUGUGGCCUGUUCCGAGGAGAUCCCUGCGCCUGGACUUUGCCUGCUAGGGGAGUUUUUUGAACAGCCCCGCAGCCCGGCGCCCGGCGGAGGUGCAGCGGCUGCGGCGCGCCCCCGCCCCCUACCCUUGCACGUGACUCCCUCCGGCCAGUCAGCGCCCGCGAGCGGGAGCUCAGGGGCCAGGGGAUCCGCGCGGUGAGCUGGGGGACUCCGAGGCGGCCGGCCGGGAGGCUGCGAGAGGCGCCGCCGCCGCCGAAGCUCCCGCCGCGCCGGGGAAACGCGCGCCGGCCUCCAGGAAGCUCUAGCCCCGGCAGGACCUACCGCGGCUGCAUCACGGAGGAAGGGAGCCAGCCCGGCCCUCGGCCUUGGAGUCAGCCUGCCGCGCCCUGCGCCCCAGGCCGAGGUGUCCUGAAGACACGGAGCCCCAGGCCCCGGCCCAGGCGCGCCCCCUCGUCUUCGGGACCGUCAGGCCCUGCAGUGGAUUUGGCCCCUCCUCCACCACCUCUGGGAACAACCACAAAUUCUAUUUGGGAUUUUCCUGAGUAAACCAGAGCAGAGCCUAGAGUCUUUUGCUCAGUGCUGGAUUUAAUCAGUGUAUGUUUUUGAAGGAUUUGGCUUUUUUUUAACCUUUGACUUUUGAUCUUCGUUUUUUGUGACAGCCCCUCACUCUACAUUAUUGGUAUUUUCAUUUUUGUAUUGUUGUUACUGCCUCUCCCCGCAUUGCUUCUUGGCCCGAGGACUCGGAAGCUGCGAGCGCGCGGGGCGAUGUACCAGAGCCUGGCCAUGGCCGCCAACCACGGCCCCCCUCCCGGGCCCUACGAGGCGGGCGGCCCGGGCGCCUUCAUGCACGGCGCAGGCGCCGCGUCCUCGCCGGUCUACGUGCCCACGCCGCGUGUGCCGUCCUCAGUGCUCGGCCUGUCCUACCUCCAGGGAGGAGAGGCGGGGGCGACGGUCCGGAGCAGCCUCGGGGGGCACGGAGGG